GUAAAACUCAAACUCGACAAGGAUAAUUUUCUUUAAACUCAAAUUAUCUCAAAUCCGAUUAUACAUCAUCUAAACUCGUCUUAUUAGAAUUCGAUAGAAUCAUGUAUUUGUAAGAAUCUGACUCGUUCCCAUCCAUAAGUUAGUCCUAACAUGUGGUUUCAGGUUGAAAAUCCCAAUUAAUUAGAUUUCCAUGGACGUGUGGGGCACCAAUUUUAUUGCAUGAAGCCUGUAGAAGCUGUGCAUUAGGAUCCAUUAAUUUCUGAUUUGAUAUGAUCUUGUAACCUAACGAUCUCAAAUGGAUUGGAACAAGAAUUAAUCGAGUGUUAUAUCUAUGGAGGUGCAUCCCUGGGCAUAUUGUUCACUUUCCCCUCUAUGUUCCACUUUGGAUUUUGUUCUUUUGUGAAAAUGGAGGCCAAGUGGGUAACACAAGAAGAUUAAGAUAAUUCAAUCCAUGUAUUAUUUUUUAAAAAUCUGCUAACUUUUUCUGAAUCUAGUGGCUAGGACUUGGGUCCAACAAGAGAAUAAUUAUGAAAAAAAAAAAUCAAAUAACUACUUAAAUUUUCAAACAAGUACAAAAUUUUUGAGCUAAAUAAGAAUUGAAUUUUA
rnacentral:misc_RNA from 1 species